UAGGUUCACCGAGGUGUGCCUAGACAGUAAAGAGAGGUUUAGCAAAUCAAAGGACUGAGAUGACGUCUUCCCCCUUCUUCGUGACCCGGAGUCUCCAAGAGUCCCACUAAUGGGCAAUAAAGACAAGGUGCACCGUUGGGGACUUACCCACAUCUCCGACAGAGAAGAAGAAAACAGCACCACUGCACCACUGCACCCGAAGGGAAGUACAUCUUGUCCGGUCAGGGAGAGUCAAGAGUUAGUAAGGUUUUAGAGUUGUUUGAAUUAAAAACAUGUCACCGCUUGUGCGGGUCCCCGUCAAUUCCUUGAGUUUCAGCCUUGCGACCGUACUCCCCAGGCGGAGUGCUUAAUGCGUUAGCUUCAGCACUGAAGGGCGGAAACCCUCCAACACCUAGCACUCAUCGUAACGGGGUGGACUACCAGGGUAUCUAAUCCUGUUUGCUCCCCACGCUUUCGCGCAUCAGCGUCAGUUAUAGGCCAAAGAGUCGCCUUCGCCACUGGUGUUCCUCCACAUCUCUACGCAUUCACCGCUACACAUGGAAUUCCACUCUUCUCUCCUAUACUCAGACCUCCCAGUUUCCAAUGGCCCUCCCCUGUUGCCCCUUUUUCUUACACAUCAGACUUAAGAGGCCGCCAGCGCGAGCUUACUCCUCCAAAAAUGCGGG
rnacentral:rRNA from 1 species